rnacentral:rRNA from 1 species
CCUGACGGAGACAACGACCGCGUGAGUGAAGAAGGUGCUUCGGAGCGUAAAGCUCUGUUGAUGGGGACGAACGUGCGAAGGGUGAAUAAUCCUUUGUAAUGACGGUACCUAUCGAGGAAGCCACGGCUAACUACGUGCCAGCAGCCGCGGUAAUACGUAGGUGGCGAGCGUUGUCCGGAAUCAUUGGGCGUAAAGGGAGCGCAGGCGGGCAUGUAAGUCUUUCUUAAAAGUUCGGGGCUCAACCCCGUGAUGGGAAAGAAACUACAUGUCUUGAGUACAGGAGAGGAAAGCGGAAUUCCCAGUGUAGCGGUGAAAUGCGUAGAUAUUGGGAGGAACACCAGUGGCGAAGGCGGCUUUCUGGACUGCAACUGACGCUGAGGCUCGAAAGCCAGGGGAGCGAACGGGAUUAGAUACCCCGGUAGUCCUGGCCGUAAACGAUGGAUACUAGGUGUGGGAGGUAUCGACCCCUACCGUGCCGGAGUUAACGCCAUUAAGUAUCCGCCUGGGGAGUACGGUCGCCAGACUGAAACUC